rnacentral:rRNA from 1 species
AGUGAACGCUGGCGGUAGGCCUAACACAUGCAAGUCGAACGGCAGCACAGUAAGAGCUUGCUCUUACGGGUGGCGAGUGGCGGACGGGUGAGGAAUACAUCGGAAUCUACUUUUUCGCGGGGGAUAACGUAGGAAAACUUACGCUAAUACCGCAUACGACCUACGGGUGAAAGCAGGGGAUCUUCGGACCUUGCGCGAUUGAAUGAGCCGAUGUCGGAUUAGCUAGUUGGCGGGGUAAAGGCCCACCAAGGCGACGAUCCGUAGCUGGUCUGAGAGGAUGAUCAGCCACACUGGAACUGAGACACGGUCCAGACUCCUACGGGAGGCAGCAGUGGGGAAUAUUGGACAAUGGGCGCAAGCCUGAUCCAGCCAUACCGCGUGGGUGAAGAAGGCCUUCGGGUUGUAAAGCCCUUUUGUUGGGAAAGAAAAGCAGCAGGUUAAUACCCCGCUGUUCUGACGGUACCCAAAGAAUAAGCACCGGCUAACUUCGUG